UACGGAGGGGGCUAGCGUUGUUCGGAAUUACUGGGCGUAAAGCGCACGUAGGCGGCUGUGUAAGUCAGAGGUGAAAGCCCGGGGCUCAACCCCGGAAUAGCCUUUGAGACUGCAUAGCUUGAACACGGGAGAGGUGAGUGGAAUUCCGAGUGUAGAGGUGAAAUUCGUAGAUAUUCGGAAGAACACCAGUGGCGAAGGCGGCUCACUGGACCGUUGUUGACGCUGAGGUGCGAAAGCGUGGGGAGCAAACAGG
rnacentral:rRNA from 1 species